GACAGAGGGUGCAAACGUUGUUCGGAAUUACUGGGCGUAAAGCGCGUGUAGGCUGCUUGGCAAGUCGGAUGUGAAAGCCCUGGGCUCAACCCAGGAAGUGCACUCGAAACUUCCGAGCUCGAGUUCUGGAGAGGAUAGCGGAAUUCUCGGUGUAGAGGUGAAAUUCGUAGAUAUUCGGAAGAACACCAGUGGCGAAGGCGACUCACUGGACACAUAUUGACGCUGAGGUGCGAAAGCGUGGGGAGCAAACAGG
rnacentral:rRNA from 1 species